rnacentral:rRNA from 1 species
AUUGAACGCUGGCGGCAGGCCUAACACAUGCAAGUCGAGCGAGCGGCGGACGGGUGAGUAAUGUCUGGGAAACUGCCCGAUGGAGGGGGAUAACUACUGGAUACGGUAGCUAAUACCGCAUACCAUCGGAUGUGCCCAGAUGGGAUUAUCUGGUAGGUGGGGUAACGGCUCACCUAGGCGACGAUCCCUAGCUGGUCUCAGAGGAUGACCAGCCACACUGGAACAGAGACACGGUCCAGACGCCUACGGGAGGCAGCAGUGGGGAAUAUUGCACAAUGGGCGCAAGCCUGAUGCAGCCAUGCCGCGUGUGUGAAGAAGGCCUUCGGGUUGUAAAGCACUUUCAGCGGGGAGGCGUUACCCGCAGAAGAAGCACCGGCUAACUCCGUGCCAGAAGCCGCGGUAAUAC